UCGAGCCUUACUUUUGUUUCAGCGAUAACAUAAACACCGCCUUGCACGUUUGCUCAAAGCAAACCUUGCCAUCUUUGGGACUGCCCUGUCAGCGAUAAGCGAAAUUCAAAAACACGGUCUUAGAUGUAGGUUCUCUCGCUCCCUCUCUUUGGAUACAUGCAUGUGCGCUCAUAAAAGGAGACCGCUCCUUUUAUUUUCAUAUUCAUAAUCCCUUAAAUAUUUGCAACUCCAUUGGCAUAGCUUCCCCGGUGACCUUCCUGAGGUUAGCUUGCCAAUGAAAGAGCUAUUUUUUUUGGACUGCACUCCCGUCCUGAAUUCCCCCGGGAGCUAAAAGGGUUAACACAUCUUGUUUUCUGCUUCACAACAGCACUCCCGUUCAGAUUGUGUAAAACUCCUUUAAAGCUACUCUCCCCCCACCCUUCUAAAGACGCUUUAUCAAUGUAUACUAAGUAAACAGAUUUUUGUUUUUGUCUUCCUCCCACAACCCUUUCUCUCCGGACUGAAAUUGGAUUCCUUCCAACCCGGCUGCAGCAACUGCUGCCUACACACUCACAGGGUUUCUAGGGAAUAUUACAUAAUGUGUGCAACAAUGAUAGGAAAAAACAUUCCACAGGUCAAGUGGCUAGUCAAAGUUUUGCCUCCUGUGAGUGUUUGAGCUGGAAGUAGAAGUUGGUGAGAAUUAGCUAUUUCUUUGAUGAAUUUUUAUUUACAAAGAAUGUGCAAAGUCCUGUAUCUCUGAAGACAGAAGGAAUCAAGAAGCAGAAAACAGUUUAUUUUGCUUAGAGCACCAAGAGUACUUUUUGCACUCUGAGGCUACGUCUACACUACAGGGGUUUUGCACAAAAACCCGCAGCGCAUCCACACAUCAAGUGCGUUUUUGCCCGGAGCAGCCAGGACAGAGGGCCAAGCCACACCACUGCUGCCACCUGCCAGAGUCCAGGGGGCCCACAGACAAGCCAGGGUGCUGUAGGACCUCAUGCGGCAACACAUCGGUGUCCUGCGCAACAUCCAUGACCCCCUGUUGCGCAGGCUCAAUUCAGACCUGGAAUGAUGGGAGCAUGCACAGACCGAAUUGAUGGCAUGGUGUGAUACCACGUGCAGCAUCAAGUCCUGCAUGGGGGAACAUGUGCAUGAUGCCGCUGCUCCUGCCUUCCACCCUCCUAUCCCCCCAAUGACCAUUGCCCAUCUGUCUUCCCACCCUGCUAUGCCUCUGCUCCCUCUUUUAUCAAUGCCCAUACCCACUCCCCAAGUGACGCCUAUGGUCCCUCUUCCUUCCCCCCCCUGCCAAACCUGACCCUGCUCUAGCUACCCCUCCUGCCUACCCCUUUCUGGUCCCCAGGCCCUCCCAACUCCAAAGAGGUCCCCACACCUGAGGUGGCAUAGCAAGCCACCCCACUACUCCUCCCAGUCCUGAUCCCCCCUCCCAGUCUAGCCAUCCCCCUUCCAGUUCAAACAUCCCCUCUCCCCUGCCCACCUUCUCCUCCUGUUCA